rnacentral:rRNA from 1 species
AUUGAACGCUGGCGGAAUGCUUUACACAUGCAAGUCGAACGGCAGCACGGGUGCUUGCACCUGGUGGCGAGUGGCGAACGGGUGAGUAAUACAUCGGAACGUACCCAGUUAUGGGGGAUAACUAACCGCAAGGUUAGCUAAUACCGCAUACGCCCUGAGGGGGAAAGCGGGGGGCCGUAAGGCCUCGCGUAAUUGGAGCGGCCGAUGUCUGAUUAGCUAGUUGGUGAGGUAAAGGCUCACCAAGGCGACGAUCAGUAGCAGGUCUGAGAGGGUGAUCUGCCAGACUGGGCCUGAGACACGGUGCAGACUCCUACGGGAGGCAGCAGUGGGGAAUUUUGGACAAUGGGGGAAACCCUGAUCCAGCCAUUCCGCGUGAGUGAAGAAGGCCUUCGGGUUGUAAAGCUCUUUCGGCAGGGAAGAAACGGUCUAGGUUAAUACCUUGGGCUAAUGACGGUACCUGAAGAAGAAGCACCGGCUAACUACGUGCCAGCAGCCGCAGUAA